CAGUGUUAAUAACAUUUAUCUUUGUCAUUAUUUCAAAACCAUUUUACCAUCCAGGCAGCCUCGCUGGUCCAACUGGUGGAAUGGGGUGGGUUACUGGGUGGAAAACAUCUAUGGAAUAGGGUUGCUGUGGAAAAAUUUGAUACAUGUGGACCUGGGAACCCGAUCUGAUACUGGUGAAUCUAACCGAGGUCCUAUUUUUACCACACCGCCCGUUCUCAGGGUAACGAGAAACUGCCCUCGAACAUUCAGGAUUGCCGCGUUUGACCCUGAUGGUGAUGAUGUGAGAUGCAGAGUACGGACAGACAGUGCAACAUCUGAGUGUGGGCUGUGCAGGCUUGUCAGUGGUUUCACAUUUGACCAGAGUUCCUGCUCCCUCACAUAUAACUACAGCAGUAAUACUGGAAUUCAUCCAAUUGAGCUUGUGAUUGAGGACUUUCCCACCAAGCCAAUAAACCUGUCUUACUCUGAUGGAUCCUACACAACAAAACACCCGCUGUCAUUGACACGACAUAAACGUCUAUCCGUCAUCUAUGUAUUUCAAACCAGCACGGCAGUCCCAACCACCACUACAGUAAAUCCAAUCAUCACAACAGCGUACCCAACUACCACAACAGCUCCAACUACAACCACAGCAGCACCAACCACCACCAC